CGGGGGCGGAGCCUGGGCUCCUCUUGACGUUUGCGGCGGACGGGUGAGUAACACGUGGGCAACCUACCUUAUAGUUCCGGGAAACUCCGGGAAACCGGGGCUAAUACCGAAUAAUCUAUUUUACUUCAUGGUGAAAUACUGAAAGACGGUUUCGGCUGUCGCUAUAAAAUGGGGCCCCGGCCCAUUAACUAGUUGGUGAGGUAACCGCUCACCAAGGGGACCAUGCCUAGCCCACCUGAGAGGGUGAUCGGCCCCCCUGGGACUGAAACACGGCCCAAACUCCUUCGGGAGGCAGCAGUAGGGAAUCUUCCACAAUGGGCGAAAGCCUGAUGGAACAACGCCGCGGGAGUGAAAAAAGUUUUUGGAACCUAAAACUCUGUUUGAAGGGAAAAACAAGUACAGUAAU
rnacentral:rRNA from 1 species